CCCUGGGUGACCAAGAACGCGGUGGGCACGCGGGAGACCACAGCCAGUAUUUAAAGGCCGCCGCUGCCCUCGCCACCACAGUCCUGCCAGGACGGCGACAGUGAAGCACCUGGGUUGAGAGGGAGCAGCAGUGCUAUGGAUCUUCCUCAGAAGAACAUGAAGUUGCUUCUGUGGAACUGGUUAUCUGCCAUGGCCUCAACAAUCCAUAAUCCAGUCAUGGAGAGGAUUCCCCAUGGUCAGAAGUCAACUUGCACAUCUAGUUAAAGUCCAAGUACCUACCUCAUGGAUGAAAUGAGAUUGUAAAGACUAAGUGAGAAAAUAGUUACCAAGCACUCCGAACAGUGGCAUUCAAUACCUUCUAGUUACAAAUUUCCUUGAACUGGGAGAUUAUAAUAUAGGAUGGCAAGCUGAGGUCAAGACUAAGUGGCUGUAUAUGUUCCCCUGGCAACCCCCAGUGGAUUUUUCCAAAAUCAAUGUUCAUCUUUUUUUUAAAAAGAAUAAUGAGUAUUUAAUGUUUUCCCUUAGUCUUAAAAAAGUUUUGUGAAUUCUACAUUAUUUCCUGAACAAAUAUUUAAAUACAAAACAAAUUUAAUAAAAUAGCUUACUUUUCUCUCC